CCAAAAAUGGAUUAACUUUCCUUUUUAGAAUUUUCCCACUUAAUUUGAUGGAAAUAAUUUCUUUUAUGUUUUAUAUUUAUGAAAAUUUAAGUGUAUUCAACUUAAAACAUUAAUUAACUAUAUAACUAUAAGAUUAGUAAACAUAUAAUUUUAUGGUUUAUUAGGUGCCAGCAACCGCGGUUAUACCUAAAUAAAAGAAAUUCAAAUAAAUAAAAUAAUAAAUAAAACAUAAACUAUCUAAUAUUUAUAGUGAAAUAUAAUAUUUAAUUUUACUUAUUGUUUUAUAAUCAAAAACAAUUUUAACUGACCUGUAAACUAGGAUUAGAUACCCUAUUAUAUCAGAAUAAACUUAUUUUAUUUGAGGAUUAAAACUAAUAAACUCAAAAAUUAUGGCGGCUUUUAAAAUAAUAUAGGGGAACUUACCUAAUAAUUGAUAACCACCAAGUAAAGAUACAGUAAUUUAUAGUUUGUAUGCCGUCGUCUAAAAUUUCUUUUAGAAAAAUUUUUUAUAUCUUUAAUUCCAAGACAGAUCAAGGUGCAACUGAUAUUACUGAAUAAGGCGAGUUACAAUAGUAAUUUACUCUCAAAUUUACUUUUAAUAAUAUUAAUGAAGAUGGACUUAUAAGUAAAACUCACAUAAAAAUCAAAAUUUGAAUAAUAAUUUUUAAUAGUGU
rnacentral:rRNA from 1 species